GAUGAACGCUGGCGGCGUGCCUAAUACAUGCAAGUCGAGCGAACAGACGAGGAGCUUGCUCCUCUGACGUUAGCGGCGGACGGGUGAGUAACACGUGGAUAACCUACCUAUAAGACUGGGAUAACUUCGGGAAACCGGAGCUAAUACCGGAUAAUAUAUUGAACCGCAUGGUUCAAUAGUGAAAGACGGUUUUGCUGUCACUUAUAGAUGGAUCCGCGCCGCAUUAGCUAGUUGGUAAGGUAACGGCUUACCAAGGCAACGAUGCGUAGCCGACCUGAGAGGGUGAUCGGCCACACUGGAACUGAGACACGGUCCAGAGUCCUACGGGAGGCAGCAGUAGGGAAUCUUCCGCAAUGGGCGAAAGCCUGACGGAGCAACGCCGCGUGGGUGAUGAAGGUCUUCGGAUCGUAAAACUCUGUUAUUAGGGAAAAACAAAUGUGUAAGUAACGAUGCACGUCUUGACGGUACCUAAUCAGAAAGCCACGGCUAACUACGU
rnacentral:rRNA from 1 species